AGUGCUUGGCUGGAAGAGUAUCUAUGCACCAACUUUGUGCUUGGCCUGUUAGCUAAGCUUCUGAGGACCCCAAGCUUGACCCAGGAUUAUUUUGGACCUGCCUCUGGACUUGUGCUGCUUUGCCCAUGGACUGACCAGCUCCUGACCUUGGACUGCUCUCCCCCUGCCUGAGCCUUUGUUGUGGACUCUCCUGGUUUGGGCCCUGACUUUGGACUGGCUCCAGAUCUUUCUCCACAUCAUAGCUUUCGAGAGUUUGGAAGGCAUUGGAAUAGACUUCUAGAGCUUUUGCAUGAAAGACCAUCUCAACGGUGACAAAAUCCAAGAAGAUCUUCUGCAAGGAAAGCAAACAGCACGUCUUAAUGUUUCAUUGGAUUCCACCGCUCUGUGGAACGCUCAGAAGGAAACAUUACUGUAAUACAAGCCUCCCAUAGUGGGGCUCAUAACUCUGCCUUUCCUGAUCUGCCUUUCCUAAAGCAGCCAGAACUCCGCAAUGCUGGUGAGCUGGGACUGCUUUUGCAUGGGCAAGGAAGAGACUGAAACAGCAAUGGGCUGCUGGCAAGGAUACGAUCAACUGUCUGUCAGAUGGCGACUUCUGUCGGAUCUUCUCCAACUUCUCCAGUUGCUUUAUUUCAUUGUUUCUGGCUUUGUUGAACUUCUUAAUCUCGGCCUAUUGAAUGUAGCAAAGGCAAUCUCUUUUGUACAACAGCUCCUUUGUUUUAUGUUAACUUUAUAAACUGCUCACAUUAUAAAAUAUCAGAGCAAUAUAGAAAAAAACAAAACUAAGUGUGAAAUAUUAAAAAUAAAUAAAUAAAACCAUUAAACUAACAGUUCCAAAUGAGA